GAUGAACGCUGGCGGCGUGCUUAACACAUGCAAGUCGAACGAUGAAGCUGGAGCUUGCUCUGGUGGAUUAGUGGCGAACGGGUGAGUAACACGUGAGCAACCUGCCCCUGACUCUGGGAUAACAGCCGGAAACGGCUGCUAAUACCGGAUAUGCACCAUGAACGCAUGUUCUGUGGUGGGAAAGAUUUUUCGGUUGGGGAUGGGCUCGCGGCCUAUCAGCUUGUUGGUGAGGUAAUGGCUCACCAAGGCGUCGACGGGUAGCCGGCCUGAGAGGGUGACCGGCCACACUGGGACUGAGACACGGCCCAGACCCCUACGGGAGGCAGCAGUGGGGAAUAUUGCACAAUGGGCGAAAGCCUGAUGCAGCAACGCCGCGUGAGGGAUGACGGCCUUCGGGUUGUAAACCUCUUUUAGCAGGGAAGAAGCGAGAGUGACGGUACCUGCAGAAAAAGCGCCGGCUAACUACGUG
rnacentral:rRNA from 1 species